rfam:Gossypium raimondii Chr08_contig_362, whole genome shotgun sequence.
AUCCCAUGAUGAGGACACUUACAAAGUAAUUCCUUGAAUCUUUCUCAUGCCUCGUACAAGGAUUCAUCAUCCAAUCGUGAAAAAGUGGUUAUCUCGUUUCGUGACU